rnacentral:lncRNA from 1 species
UGGAUUUAUAGAUGCAUAAUUUGCUGCGUGAUACAAAAUGAAAUUGGUAUAUUCUUCUUGCAUCUAAUCACUGAUUUAUGUGGACUUAUUGGAGUUCUAAUGGCGCCAAACGAAGAAGUCAAUUGCGCAACUAAAAGUCUGAGAGGCGACCCCUUGUAUGAGAAAAUACAAGAACUUUAGUGGGAGUUGAAUAAUGAGAGAACCUGGAAGUGUAGAAAAAAGGAAAAGUCGUCGC